rnacentral:piRNA from 1 species
GCCUUUCAUGACAUGUUUCUCUAGAUGCU